rnacentral:lncRNA from 1 species
GCCCAAUGAGCCUGCUCUUCACAGGAACCCUGACCCCGGACCUCCUGACUCUCCACCAAGCUCGCUUUCCCAAAACUCAUGCUGGGAAGUGACACCUACUCCAGCACUACAGGGAAAUAUUUUCAAUCAGUCCCUUUCACUCCACUACUUAAAGGCUCAAAUAAGUGUUUUGUUUUCUCUUUUUCAAGUCAGUCAGCUGAAGAAGUAAGGACAAUAUAAGUCAGUGAUUUCCAGCAGGGUUCUGUGACACUGAAAACCACAUUUAUUUAUCUGAAGAGGUGUUACAAGUUCUAAAUAAAGUUAAAUCACAUUCAUUAAUCUUAAAAAUAAAUCUAUUUCACAUACCACUUUAGGAGGGAAUAAACCCAGGCACAACAGAAUCCUACAACAUCAACAAAGUUGAAUGUUCACAGAUAACUGAAAAUAAAACUGUCUACACAGAAUUAAGGCCAAGAAGAACCAUUCAGAAUUCCGUUUUUCUGAGGGAAAAUACUCUCAAAGUAAUAAAGUCAUAGUUCACAGUCAUAAACAAAUAGUUUUCAUGAAUUUGUGUUUCAAAAUGCAAACUUUACAUGCUGCACAGAAAUUUUAAAAUCCGCAUGGGCACAUUGAAAAGAGAACAUUCUACUGUGUCUAAGAUGCAGCUGUGAGGACACAUGAGUGAUGCUCAGCUGUUAACAAAACAUGAAAAGCUUCCCCAGGACAAGCAAUUUAUGGCUGUGUUAAGGGUUGUGAAGCAUAUUUUAGUCACUCUAAUUUCAUGAAAUUUUUCUACUCCACUAUUUGGAUGUGUAUCGAGGAGUAAAAACUCAAUAAUUAACUUCAAACAGUGCACUCUCAUGCCAGGAAGGGGACUGAAGAGACACCCGGUCUCAGGGAAGCUCAUUUCCAGAAAGUCUGUGCUACCGGAAGAAAAGGUGUUGCUGCGCUGAGAGAACCCCCACUUUCGCACGUGCCUCCCUGACCACCCGGCCUGCCUGCAGGUUCUGAGGCUCACACCCCGUGCAGAGCAGCUGCGGCCCACGAGCCAUGAGCUGGUGUCCACAGAAGGAGCCACAGAGGCACUGAGGGGGCCACCCAAGCUGCCGGCAGGCGUGUGGCCCUGUGCAGCCACAGGAGGCCUCGGGGAACAAAUCCAUUUACUCACACAGGUAUCCAGACAGUACUCCAACAAAAUCAAAAGAAGACAGGAAAGAGGGAUCCUCUGGGGGGGCCUCCAUUACGCACAAGGCUGGGCAGACGCUGCC